UACGUAGGGUGCAAGCGUUGUCCGGAAUUAUUGGGCGUAAAGAGCUCGUAGGCGGCCUGUCGCGUCUGCUGUGAAAUCCCGGGGCUUAACCCCGGGCGUGCAGUGGAUACGGGCUGGCUGGAGGCAGGCAGGGGAGAACGGAAUUUCCAGUGGAGCGGUGAAAUGCGUAGAGAUUGGAAAGAACACCGAUGGCGAAGGCACUUUACUGGGCUAUUACUAACACUCAGAGACGAAAGCUAGGGUAGCAAAUGGG
rnacentral:rRNA from 1 species